CUCAGUAACACGUGGAUAACCUAACCUUAGGUGGAAGAUAACCUCGGGAAACUGAGAAUAAUAUUCCAUAGAUCUAGGAUGCUGGAAUGCAUCUAGAUUGAAAGUUCCGACGCCUAAGGAUGGGUCUGCGGACUAUCAGGUUGUAGUCAGGGUAAAGACCUGACUAGCCUACGACGGAUAUGGGUUGUGAGAGCAAUAGCCCAGAGACGAUAUCUGAGACACGAUAUCGGGCCCUACGGGGCGCAGCAGGCGCGAAAUCUUCACAAUGUGCGAAAGCACGAUGAGGGGAUCCCAAGUGCUGGCACGUAAGUGUCAGCUGUUUCUUAGCCUAAAAAACUGGGGGGAGGAAGGGCUGGGUAAGACGGGUGCCAGCCGCCGCGGUAAUACCUGCAGCUCAAGUGGUGGCCGCUAUUAUUGGGCCUAAAACGUCCGUAGCCUGUCUAGUAAAUGCUUGGGUAAAUUGUGUAGCUUAACUAUACGAAUACCGGGUAGACUGCUAAACUUGGGACCGGGAGAGGCUAGAGGUACUCCUGGGGUAGAGGUGAAAUUCAUGUAAUCCUAGGGGGACCACCAGUGGCGAAGGCGUCUAGCUAGAACGGGUCUGACGGUGACGGGACGAAGCCCUGGGGCGCAAACCGGAUUAGAUACCCGGGUAGUCCAGGGUGUAAACGCUGCUUGCUUGAUGUUAGUUGGGCUCCGAGCCCAACUAUGUGUCGGAGAGAAGUUGUUAAGCAAGCUGCCUGGGAAGUACGGUCGCAAGACUGAAACUUAAAGGAAUAGCCGUGUGAGCACAGCAACGGGAGGAGAGUGCGGCAUAAUAGGAUUCAACGCCGGAAAUAUCACCGGAGGCGACGGUUAUAAGAAGGCCAGGCUGAUGACCUUGCCUGAUUUUCCGAGAAGUGGGGCAUGGCCGUCGUCAGUUCGUACCGUGGAGGCGUUGUUUUAAGUCAGACAACGACCCCCCCCCCCCUCUUUAGUAGUUGGUAGUAAGU
rnacentral:rRNA from 1 species